GGCGGAAAUCUCUAGUACUGGCGAAAUGCCUCGUCAUCUUGUCAGUGACGCGCAUGACUGGAUUACCGAGAUUCCCACUGUCCCUCUCUACUAUCGAGCGAAAUCACAGCCGAGGAAACGGGCUUGGAGAAAUCAGCGGGGAAAGAAGACCCUGUUGAGCUUGACUCUAGUCUGCACUGUGAAGACACAUGAGAGGUGUAUCAUAAUUGGGAGGCCGUGAACCCUCGUGGUUGUGUCGUGCCGACACUGAAAUACCACUACUUUAAUCGUUUCUUUACUUACUCGGUGAAGCGGAAAGAGGACCAUGAGUGUCCACGCUUCUAGCAUUAUGGGUAAGACCCUUCGUUGGCCCGCACGAUCUGUUCUGAGGACAGUGUCAGGCGGGGAGUUUGACUGGGGCGGUACAUCUGUCAAAUGGUAACGCAGGUGUCCUAAGGCGAGCUCAGCGAGGACAGAAACCUCGCGUAGAGCAAAGGGGGCAAAUACUUGCUUGAUCUUGAUAUUCAGUACGAUAACAGACCGGGAAAGUGGGGCCCCUCGAUCCUUUUGACUUUAAGAGUUUUAAGCAAGAGGUGUCAGAAAAGUUACCACAGGGAUAACUGGCUUCUGGCGGCCAAGCGUUCAGAGUGACGUCGCUUUUUGAUCCUUCGAUGUCGGCUCUUCCUAUCAUUGCGAAGGAGAAUUCGCCAAGCGUUGGAUUGUUCACCCACUAAUAGGGAACGUGAGCUGAGUUUAGAACGUCGUGAGACAGGCCAGGUAACAAUUUAUGUCGAGGAGACAGU
rnacentral:ncRNA from 1 species